CUAAGGUGAGGCUGAAAAGCGUAAUCGAUGGACAACAGGUUAAUAUUCCUGUACUUUCUUGAAUGUGAUGGAGUGACGGGGGAGGAUAUUCCUACCACUUAUUGGAUUGUGGGGUAAGCAUUUACUGGUCUAUAUAGGCAAAUCCGUAUAGUAUAACCGGGAGAUGUGAUGCAUAGUGAAAGGGCGACUGAGUAGCGAAUUGGCUGAUUCCAUACCUCUUAAAAAAGCUUCUAACUUAAAUUCUGUGAAACCCGUACCGAGAACGGACACACGUCCCCAAGAUGAGUAUUCUAAGGCGAGCGAGAAAACCAAUGUCAAGGAACUCUGCAAAAUCAUCCCGUAAGUUCGCAAGAAGGGAUGCCUAUGUUAACGCAUAGGCCGCAGUGAAUAGUAAGGGGGAACUGUUUAUCAAAAACACAGCUCUAUGCUAAGUCGUAAGACAAUGUAUAUGGGGUGACUCCUGCCCAGUGCCCGAAGGUUAAGCAGAGGUGUUAGCUUAUGCGAAGCAUUAAUGUGAAGCCCGGGUGAACGGCGGCCGUAACUAUAACGGUCCUAAGGUAGCGAAAUUCCUUGUCGGCUAAAUACUGACCUGCACGAAAGGAGUAAUUAUCUCUUAACUGUCUCGACAUUGGACUCGGUGAAAUUAUGGUUCCGGCGAAGACGCCGGAGACCCGCAUCUAGACGAAAAGACCCCAUGGAGCUUUACUAUAACUUCAUAUUGGAGUUUGAUUUAACAUGUGUAGGAUAGGUGGGAGACUUUGAAGUAGGAACGCAAGUUCUUAUGGAGUCGCCGUUGAAAUACCACCCUUGUUACGUUGAACUUCUAACUUAUUACCAUGAUCUGGUAAGAGGACAGUGUGUGGUGGGUAGUUUGACUGGGGCGGUCGCCUCCUAAAAGGUAACGGAGGCGUUCAAAGUUACACUCAGUACGGUCAGAAACCGUAUUCAAGAGCAUAAAGGUAGAAGUGUGAUUGACUGUGAGACCUACAAGUCGAGCAGGUGCGAAAGCAGGACUUAGUGAUCCGGCGGUUCUUCGUGGAAAGGCCGUCGCUCAACGGAUAAAAGCUACCCUGGGGAUAACAGGCUUAUCUUUCCCAAGAGAUCACAUCGACGGGAAGGUUUGGCACCUCGAUGUCGGCUCAUCGCAUCCUGGAGCUGGAGUCGGUUCCAAGGGUUGGGCUGUUCGCCCAUUAAAGCGGUACGCGAGCUGGGUUCAAAACGUCGUGAGACAGUUUGGUUCCUAUCUGAUGUGGGCGUUGGAAUAUUGAUGAGAGCUACUCUUAGUACGAGAGGACCGGAGUGGACGUACCGAUGGUGCUCCAGUUGUUUUGCCAAAAGCAUAGCUGGGUAGCCAAGUACGGCAAGGAUAACCGCUGAAAGCAUCUAAGCGGGAAGCCUCCUCAAAGAUGAAUAUUCCCUUUUAAAUUCCUUAUAGACUAUGAGGUUGAUAGGCUGGAGGUGUAAGUACAGUAAUGUAUUCAGCUGACCAGUACUAAUAAAUUGAUUGGUUUAAUA
rnacentral:rRNA from 1 species